CCUGGGCUUGGCAACGAGCCGCGGCAGCUGCGGGGCGUCGUUCGCUGGGCGGUGUGAGCCCCCGCCCGCCCCUGUGCGCGGAGGUGUCAGGAUGCGGGGUGGGACCCAGCAGCCCCUCUGCCCUGCGGGAAGGAGCCCGUGUCCCCACAGCGUCUGACGGAGCCGUUUCUGCCUCAGAGGCGGUGGGAGAAGGUGUCGGGGAAGGGAGGCUCCGUGUGGAGAAGACGAUGGGGAGGAAGAGUCCUGGGCGGAGAGACAUAUGCUACACGCAGUGAGUCCUCUUUUGGGGGGUGGCAGAAACCGGCUGCCACGCGGGAUUGAGCCCGAGCAACGGCAUGAGGAAACGGUGCGUACCUGUUGUCUAGAAGGACUUGGGUUUGAAAACCGCCACCCACACACCUCCAGACGCUGACACCGCCCACUGCCCAAAAGCCAGGGGUGAGGAGGAGAAUUUUCUCUUUUUAUGUGUGUAUGAAAAGGAUGAGGACUGGCUCCAACGGUGUCCAUUUCUGCCAAGGACAGGCACUGACUCUGCUUCCUCUCCGCUCGAACAUUUUUUAGUUUUAUGGAGGGGGAAAAUAGAAAAUAAUAAACAUUCACUUCGUCAGAUCAACGAUAAAAAAAUCACCUCCCCAGACGAACAAGAAGAAACAGCGGCAAAGCAGCCACUUUGCAUUGAAUCAGGCGGAAGAAAUCCCUCUACAGUGUGUUUCUCCAAAGCCGGAGUUGCAGCUGGGUUUGUGUGUGCUUGCCUUAUGUGGUGUCUCUUUGAGGAGGUGGGGAGGAUUUUCUCUUAGGAAUAUACAUUUUUCUUUUUUUGGUAAAACCUGCUGCCUGAAGGAGUAUUAUAACAAAUCUCUCUGAAUGGGAGAGACUCAACUGGUGAACCUCUUUUUACCCAAAAUGUUGAUCCCCAGAGAAAUCUGAGGGUGUGCUCUUUUGAGGAAAGAACAACCACUCCAUUAAAGAUGAACACUUUUUAAGUUUUGUGGUCAACCAAUUUAUUUUGUAAUUUUUUUCUGGUUUCUGUUUUGUGAUAAAUUGCUCUUAUACCAUAAAAGACUAUUUUAAAUCAGUUCGUAAUUUUGGUGGGGAGGGAAGGAAUACCUCCCAAGCAUUUAUAGUAUGACAGCUUUGGUUUCUCAAGAGUUAAUCAGGGCUUGUGUGAUACAUUUACUACCAUUCUGGUAAUAAACUUGCCUUUUUUUAAAAAAAAAAAUUGGGGCUAGUGGGGAGGAUUAUCUUGGUCAGAAGAAUAUCUUUGUUUUGGGGGUGUUUCCCUCAUUACACUCCCUUGAUGACUCCUGGAGGUGGUAGUGGGCCCAUGAAAGACUGUGAAUACAGUCAGAUCAGCACACACAGCUCCUCAUCUCCCAUGGAGUCUCCCCAUCAAAAAAAGAAAGCAGCUCCCAAGAGAAAAUGGGAGGUUUUCCCUGGAAGAAACAAAUUCUUUUGCAACGGAAGGAUCAUGAUGGCCCGGCAGACUGGAGUCUUCUACCUGACUCUGGUUCUCAUCUUGGUCACCAGUGGACUCUUCUUUGCAUUUGAUUGUCCAUAUUUGUCAGAGAAGAUUACACCUGCUAUUCCUGCAAUAGGUGGGAUUCUGUUCUUUUUCGUGAUGGGGACCCUGCUGCGUACUAGUUUCAGUGAUCCUGGAGUCCUCCCACGUGCAACACCAGAUGAAGCAGCAGACCUGGAAAGACAAAUAGGUAACACAGAAGAUAUUGCAAAUGGCUCCAGUUCCGGAGGAUACCGUCCACCUCCCAGAACAAAAGAAGUAAUCAUCAAUGGACAGACAGUGAAACUAAAAUACUGUUUCACUUGCAAGAUUUUCCGCCCACCUCGUGCCUCACAUUGCAGCCUUUGUGAUAACUGUGUAGAACGGUUUGAUCACCAUUGUCCCUGGGUAGGCAACUGUGUGGGGAAAAGAAACUACAGAUUUUUUUAUAUGUUUAUUUUAUCUCUGUCCUUUCUGACAGUCUUUAUAUUUGCAUUCGUUAUCACCCACGUCAUCCUUCGAUCACAGCAAGCAGGAUUCCUAAAUGCCCUCAAGGACAGUCCAGCAAGUGUGCUGGAAGCUGUCGUGUGUUUUUUUUCCGUUUGGUCUAUUGUUGGUCUCUCAGGUUUUCAUACAUAUUUGAUCAGCUCCAAUCAAACAACAAAUGAAGAUAUUAAAGGAUCUUGGUCAAAUAAAAGAGGUAAAGAGAAUUACAAUCCAUACAGUUAUGGCAACAUCUUUACUAAUUGUUGUGCAGCGCUGUGCGGGCCCAUCUCUCCAAGUCUAAUUGACAGAAGAGGAUUUAUACAGCCAGAUACACCACAGCCAGCAGCACCAUCAAAUGGCAUUACAAUGUAUGGGGCAACACAGUCUCAGAGCAACAUGUGUGAUCAAGAUCAGUGCAUUCAGAGCACUAAAUUCGUUUUACAGGCUGCUGCCACACCACUACUACAGAGUGAACCCAGCAUAACUAGUGAAGAGCUACCUUUACCAGGAAAGACCACUAUCGGUGCUCCUUGUGCCACGCUAACCCUAGGGCAGCCGACACCACCGUCCUCCAUGCCAAAUCUCACAUCAGAAACAGGUUUGACAGACAUGAUACCAUUAAAAGAGGAACAUGAAGGUCAUCAGUUUCUCACUCCUGAGGAAGCUCCAUCACCUCCUGGUAUGCUGCCAGCAGGGAGCCCUAUAACACACAGCCAUACCAUGCACGUCCUGAGCCUAGCCAGCCAAGAUUCAUUGCAUGAAGACUCAGUGCGUGGUCUUGUGAAGCUUAGCUCAGUUUGACCAAUUUUUAUUGAUAAUAUUAUACCAUAUCAUAGCGGUUGUACAAAUGUAUACCCAACAGGAAAGACUUUACAGUACCACUGUAAGACUCUAACAUGCCUAUAUAAUGAAAACUUUCCCAUGUAAUGGAGUUUACUAAAUGGACAAAUUAUUUUUUCAAUGGAACUAUGGCAUUCUUUUGACUGGAUUGUUAAUGGUUCUGCUUUGAUGGUGACUGCUUCUAUUUUUUAAAUAAAACCAGGAAGGUCAGUAAUCCUGCUACUGAAGAUCUGGGUCCAGCAACUUGUAGUUCUACCUGUAGGACGGCCUUUGUUACAGUAUAAAAAAGAGAGGUUUUUGGAUGUAAGUGUCAUGUUAUGCAUUUUAUGCUCUUGUAAUACACACUUGUUAAGGCUUACCACACUUGUGGCCAGAAUGAUCUGCACUUACAUGUUAUGCUACUAAUAUUUGAAAUAGAAAAUAAUCAUUCCAUUUGUUAAUACAGAAAAUGACUGCAGAUAUGGAUUUGCAUGCCACGCUAAGGUAUGUGUUACAGUGGUGUUGGUAUUAAAAGAGAGUGCUGCUUUUUUAUUUGUGAGUUUCAAAGUGCUGUUUCAUUUAAAGACGGUGCAAUAGAUUAACCAAUGGACAACGUUAUUUUUUUCAGUUUAUUACAUUUUAUUUUAAAUUAAUCAGUGGUGCCUAAAAUAUGGAGGCUACUGAUUUUUAUCAUGCUACAUAUCGUUUAACCUUCUAUUUAAUUGUUUAGAAUAAGGUAUUGUGUUGUGCCAUGCCACAGAUUCUUCCACUCCCUUGUGUGAUAAGAUUACCUGCAGACAUCCAAUAAAAUGAUAUCCUGUUUCUUUGGAUAUGCGUACAGUUAUCCUUAUACAGUUUACUGGAAAAGAAAAGUCCCAUUUGGAUGACUUAGUCUAUCGGGGGUUAUGUUUUUUUUUACUUUGAUACAGUUGCAUAAUGCGCCCAGAGCCACAGGGAAAAUCUGACCAUGAAUUGUUUUGCUUUAGUAUUAUGUAUAGCUUUGUAUAGACAGUCUGUUUUGAUAACACAGUGUUUCUACAGCAAACCUGUGUAUUAAGUACAGAUACUUAAUAUCUGCUUAGGACCUAAACUCCUGGAUGUUAGGCUUCAGAAGGAAGAGAAAAGUCAAUGGAGUGAACCUGAACAAACAAGCGAUACACUGUAGCUGCCGUCUAGUUAUAAGUUUUCAUCUGUAUAUUUUCAUCCAUUAUUUAAAAUGGAAAUAUUUAUAUUACAAAGUUGUUCUAUGCUUCAAUUUGUGAUUAGGGAAAAUAAGAGUUAUGGUUAUGGAAAAUAUCUCCACUCAGGGACAAUUGAAGAGGACCCUGCGCAUAAGCUGAGAGAACUCAAACGUUGUAAUUUACUGUAUCUGACUUGUUUUUCAGAUUCUAGAAUCCGCAAUAAUCUCUUCUCAGGAUAAAUUAAAUGCAGAGAGUCUUUCCAGCAAGCUCAAGAUAUUAUUUCAACUGCAAAUUGCUAUUAUAUCAAAUGUUUCCUUGAUCGAUCAAGAAGCAUGACAUUUCUGCAUCAUUGAAACAUGGUCAUUCACGGACAUCAAGUGAAAAAAAUUGCCAUAUUUUUAAAAAAGAGCAGAAUAAGCCUCUUGGAAUACAGCCAUUUAUGCUAUUGAAAUGUCAGAUGACAUGCUAACAAGAGCCCUCAUACUUUGAGGUUUUGUAACCAAUUUUAUUUCUCUAAAUGGUGAUAUCACCUUUCACCUAGUUGUAGGUAUAGAAAAUAUAGAAGGAAAACUUUGAUAACAUCAACUGAUUUCUUGGGUCCCAUUUCACAGUUAGUUAUGGAUGGACUAGAUGACCUUUUGAAGUCCCUUCCUGCCCUAAAUUUCAAUGAGACUAUGAAUGCUCCACCAUUAACAGUGAUGGUGAGUCAUUAAAAAGUUUGCAAGCUUUCACAUAAGGGGAUAUAGCUUCUCAGUUUCUUUUCCCAUUCAGUCUCGCAAGGUUGCUCAAAAAUUCUUAUUCAGAUGUUCUCUCUCUUUUUGGGUAUGUCCUCUCCAAAGAAGAACUCCCUUUGUGCUGGAUUCCAAUCCACAGCUAGAUUGUCAGGUACUAUGUCAGAUGGGGCAGAAAAACUUAGCGAGAUGGAUAUCCAUGGAUAUCCCCGCUACCAGACUAACAGUAGUAGCUCUGGUAGGGGGAAGGAGAGUGUAUUACUUAUGGGUGGGAUUUUCAAAGGAGCCUAAGGGAAUUAAGUGCUCAAAGCACAUUGAAUGUCAGAGUUAUUUGUGGGCACCCAAAUAAUUAUAAUAAUGCAACACAGUGUACUCUCACCUCUCAGAAACACCGAAGUUUGUAUUCUUAACCUAGCCCAUGACAAAUGCUUAUUACAAAACCACUGCACUGUUUGUAUUCUUUUAGAGCUGAGAACAAAAAGGGAUGUUUCAUCUCAAGACUGUAUUUUGGAUGAACUGAGGUUUGGGAUGAAGCAUUCAUAGCACCUUGUCACAUUUUAUUUGCUUUGGUUAGUGUUACCAGCCUUCCCUGACAUAAGCACUAAAAUUUUGCUAGUGAAAAAAGGAAAAAUUAUUUAUCCUUUUCUCAUAGUACUGAACAGUAAGUGAAAUAUUUCUAUUUUUGUUAGUAGAAGGGAAAGUUCUUUGAAAUCAGUUGCCACUAUGGGAAAUUACCUUAUAACCUUACAGAAACAAUACUUGAUUGAAUAAGUGAAUCUGUAGCUAAGUGGGUCUUAAUAUUUUAUUAAUUCUACAGAUAUCAGUGUACCGAGGAUUGAUUGUCCACUAUGUGAAAGAACAAAGUUUUUGUUAUGGUGGCAUCUCUGGUUGACACUAUUGACUUGUGAGGACAUCUGCUGGAAAAUACCGGAACUGAAUUAAUUAAUUGUUUCUAUAAUUAUAGUUCUCGAUUAACAGAUUAAAAUCAGUGACUCCAUCAUCAGAAUGACUGAAAUUCCUGUGUAGGGCAUCUCUUCUGUUUUACUUUUUCCCAGCAGCAACUGCUUUCCAGCAUAUGAGCUCCCUCAGAUGGAAUUCACGUACACAUAUGGCACCGUUCAGCAAAGUAACUUAACCAUCCCUGGUACUGCAGGAUUCAUAGCUUUGAUUGUAUUUUCUUUGCAUUGCAGAGCACAAGGACCAGAGAUUCAAACUGAUAAUCCAGGGCCACGUUGCUCUAUUUGCUUCUCUUUGCAUAUUUUGCUUUCUCCUUUGUUGUUCUUUUCAUUAAAAAAUUAGUACAUUAUAUUGAAUUAAUCUUAUAAAAAGUUUGAAUGUUCCUCAUACUGGUACCUUCUGAUUUGUAUAAAUGCAGAAUCUAAAUUGGAAGUUGAUGUUUACAGAAAAGUAAAUGUAUGUUUUUACUAAAAGUACCUAUAAAUGUGUAGAAGUUCACUAUGCUGGUUAAUCUGGCAGCAAUUUUUUCCCCUUUCAUUGUUUUUUUUAAUAGUUUUUCCCCUCUAGGUGGGUAUACAGUACAAGACUGUGUACAGUGAAAUGCAAUGCUUCAUAAAUAAGAUCUGUUUUUAAAAGGCUUCUUUUUCUUGUUUUCUCAAAGACCUCUCUAUUUUUAAAGUAAUUUUAUAUUAUUAAUGAUUAAACAGUAAUGUUGUUCUCAUUGUAAUAAAUGUCAGAGAUGAUUGCAUUUUGUAAA